CAGGUUAGUCUUUAGGGGGAUUUCGUUUACAUUGAAAUUAUUGUCGUGCAAUUCGAUAUAACUUGA
rnacentral:tRNA from 1 species